UAUGAUCUGAACACUCACGAGACGGAG
rnacentral:piRNA from 1 species